AAAACCCAUUCAAGCUCGUUUGCUUGGUCUUGGAGGUGGAGCACGGCAACGCCCUCCCCUCGGAAAUGCAAUGGCGGAGUCACUCGCGUUCCCCAGCGUAGUAAGUUUAUCUUUUCGCUUGGUGCCGGGUGCGUUCCAGCCUCAACCCCCAAUCAUUAUGUGUUGACCUCGGAUCAGGUAGGGAUACCCGCUGAACUUAA
rnacentral:misc_RNA from 1 species